UACGGGGGGGGCAAGCGUUGUUCGGAAUUACUGGGCGUAAAGGGCGCGUAGGCGGCCUGCUAAGUCACACGUGAAAUCCCUCGGCUCAACCGGGGAACUGCGUGUGAUACUGGCGGGCUUGAAUUCGGGAGAGGGAUGUGGAAUUCCAGGUGUAGCGGUGAAAUGCGUAGAUAUCUGGAGGAACACCGGUGGCGAAGGCGGCAUCCUGGACCGAGAUUGACGCUGAGGCGCGACAGCGUGGGGAGCAAACAGG
rnacentral:rRNA from 1 species